AAAUCGGUGGCGCAACGGUAGCGCGUCUGACUCCAGAUCAGAAGGUUGCGUGUUCGAAUCACGUCCUGGUCAACA
rnacentral:tRNA from 1 species